AUUCUUGCUGCUGAGGAGCCAUAUUUUUGUUUUCUGUUUCUAUAGUCGGAGAGCUGCUUUAUUUUAUAAAGUAAAUAAUGCAAAUUAUUGUGAAAGGCACACCGGAUGUUGUUGCGUGAGACACUUUUUGUUUUACGUUCUUCGGAGAAGUCUCAUGUUCCAAGCCAAGCACAGCCCGUAUCUUUUUAUCUUGUAACUGUAUGCAAUAGUAUUAAUUCGUGGGGGUUGUUCACCGUGAAUUUAUAUUCAAAAGACGUUACAAUUGUUUACUAUUAGCAUUUACGAGAGCGAUUAGCGUAUUAGCUCGCGAACGUUAGCAAUCGACGGGACUUUCCUCGAAAGAGCGAACAUUGAGCAAGGUUCCAAAGUGGUAGUUGGUUUUGGGAGGAGUGACUGAAUACCCAAAAGUCAAGCCUAUAAAAUGCAAUCAUGGGAUACUCGCUAUUUUUGCGGCGGCUCUUUCCCCUGAAGGAGACUAUGGUCCAAAAUAUUGGGUAUUGUAUGCAAUACGCGAAAACACAAACGCUGAAUGUAUGCAUGUCCCAAAAUAACCUUAUUUAAAUUAGAUGAUAAUCUUUGAAAUGCAUAUACCCCGUGAUAGGAAUUCUUGGUGGACAUGACCUCAUAUUGACUGUACUGGAACGGAGAUGACCCUCAAAGCUAAGAACAAACAAACAGCAGACUUAUAAGAUAAGAUAAGAUAUCCUUUAUUUGUCCCACACUGGGGAAAUGUACAGCCUCCAGCAGCAAGAAUGUGGGUAGAAAGAAGAAAAAACAACUAUCUCUCCAAGUUCACUUUGGCGUCCUGUCCCUCCUCCCCUUUUGCGGUGUUCAGCGGGGCCAGAACAAUGUAUCCAAAGUGAAGUUCUCCCAGCAGGUGGAGGUUCAAACAGGUCCCAGACCAGAGGCACCUCGGGAGGGAUCAGAUGACUGCAGCCUAAGGGCCUGGCCCAAAUUUGACCCGUACAUAAAAAACAGGCCUGUUCCACACUCUUGGUGCUCUCACUGGGCUAAAACAACACCAGGCCAAAGUGUGCGUCACGAAGGAGGACACAUCCGGGUGUCGGGCGCACCUGAAGAUAAUGACCCCAACUUAGAGACGAGAGCGGAGCUGCUGAAGAUCUUAACGGCCGUGGAUGGCCUCCAGCUGCUAAACCCGGCCCCCCGGCCCCCCGGCCCACCGGCCCGGUGACUGAUGAGCCCGACUUGACCCCUUCUCUCGGCUAAAGGGAAGCACGUUGAAAUCAUCUCAGAGCGGCGGCAGCUUCACAGCGUUGGACAACCAUCCGUGGCCGCUGAGCUAACAGGCCUGCCUUGGGAGAUUUCCAUUAUCGGGGGGGGGGGGAAUAUUCACUGGAAUCUUUCAACCUUGUCAGACGACGGCGUGCACUCCCACAGGACGCCGGGCUUUAACUCAGAGGGACAUUAAUGUAAAGGCAACCUGCAAAAAGAUCACAAUUGCAGCAGAGACCCACGGUUGGUCGUUUGGACAGUUCGUGAGCCAACGGGGACAUUGGCGCUCCGGCUGGGAAGGUAAUGACAUCAGAUGCCGCGCUACACAACAACAGGUGCUUUGGCAGCGCCACCUUGGAGCUCCUCGCUGCGUCAAUGACAUCAGCGCCGAUCUGCCGGUUAAUUAUAGCUCGCCCGUGCCUUUUCUUGUCGCCAAUCAGACGCGAGACGUGUUUUUGGGCAGGGGAUCAGACAAAGGUUGGUAACUUUUCACACGUUCAAGGGAAAUCUGCGGCAACUGUCGCUACUAUGAUGAUAUAUCCUAAACGGUCUUUUGUACAUCAAUUCAAUGAAAAAACAAACCGCAUCUGGAAUAACAAUGACGACGCACUACUCACAAAACUUUUUUUUUAUUUUAGGCUAAAAUGCAGGUGAACUUCCAAUGACCUCAUGAUGAACAUUUCCAAGGAUGUCCAAUUCUAUACCUUUCUCAGCGAGGCUUGUCGGGCGAGCUCCAGCGCUCUCAACUCAAAGGUCCCCGAAGAACGCCGUUGCUUACAAAAGCUUGUCGCCUCAGCAUGACGGUGUUUUUCCACAAAGGAGUUUUACGGCGUGCCAGCAUGCCAUCGUGUCCGCCCGAGAGGGGGGCUGGAGGGGUCCUCAUUAUGCGGCCGAGGCGACAAGCUCGUUAGGAGUGCACGAAAGAUUACAACAUGCGGCUAAAGAGCACGGCGCAAACACAAACAGACACACGGACGGAUUGUAAAACAGAUGGGAGCGCAGAAGGCCGGCGUUGUACUGCUUUGUUUUGAUCUCACUGAUGAAGAACAUCAGUGUCGGUGCUCUUCGCGGCCAUUCCAGGUGAUGAAAUGCUCCCUUGAUGGUGCGCAGACCUGUUUUU